AUUACAUGUGGAAAUCAAUGUAUGGCAUUAAGAGGUCAUCGAGAUUCAGGCAAAUGAAAAUGAUGGAAACUUUAGAGCUAUUCUCAGAAACCGAGCAAUUGGAGAUGAUGAGCUCAGGAUUAACUUGUUAAAUGCACCGAAAAAUGCUACGUAUUUAAGCCCCACCAUUCAAAACGAAAUCAUUGAUGUGUGUAAUGAUUUAAUAUUAAGAAUGAUAGUUGCCAACAUUAACAAGUCUCCAUUCUUUUCAGUCUUGGCAGAUGAAUCAACUGAUAUAUCUGGCAUAGAGCAAAUGUCCUUGUGUGCUCGAUAUUUAUAUUCUGAAAAUGAUGAAGUUCAAAUAAAAGAAGACUUUUUGCAAUUUAUUCCGAUUCAAGAUAUAAGAGGUGAAUGUCUUGCUAACACAAUUGAUGUUCAUCUUAAAAAAUUUUAAAUUAAUGUUAAUUUUAUGCGGGGACAAUGAUAUGAUGGUGCCAGUGCUAUGAGUGGACAUUUAAACGGUGUUCAAUCACAUUUAAUAAAAAAAUAUCCUACUGCAAUUUAUGUACAUUGUGCGUCGCAUUCCCUAAAUCUAGCCAUUUCUGAUUGUUGCUCAAUUCCCGUUAUUCUUAGUACCAUGGGCACAAUAGGCAAGGUAUAUGAUAUGUUCAAGUAUCCAAAAAGAUCUAAUGUCCUCAAAAAUUUUUUGGCAAAGGAAGAGGCAAUAAUCAUCAUAAACUUAUGAAAAUGUGCCCUACAAGAUGGAUCCUACGACAUGAAUCGUUUGCAGUUUUUCUUGCAUUAGUUGACCCGAUAAUUGUUGCAUUGGAGGAAAUAUGUGGAUGGACAGAUACAUCAGUGGUGGCAGAAGCCAAUGGAAUCUUGAAAGCGAUUCAAGAUCCUGAGUUUUUAUUGGCCAUUAAUUGCAUUAACACUCUCUUCUGCCACACGAUAUUAUUAUGCAGAGCCUUGCAAAGAGUGAACCAAGAUAUGGUUCAGGCAUUGAUCUUCGCUGAAGAUGCAUAUAAUGCUAUUUUA